CUUAGACUUGAUCAUAGGUGUAACCAGUCAAACUGUAUCUUCCACCUCUUUACUGAAUACUAUUGAUUACCUCUUCAAGUGGAAAUCUGGGCUCAUAAUUUUUGUGGGUUUCUCUGCUUAGUCUUGGCUAUCCUGGAACUCUCUCUGUAGACAAAGCUGGCCUCAAGCACAAUGAUCUGCCUGCCUCUAUGAGCAGGUUCUGGGAUUAAAGGCAUGCUCCACCACCCACUGCCCAGCUCUAUUUUCAUUAAGAAGAAGGAGGAGAAGGAGGAGGAUACGUGUAUGACUGGUAUGUCUUCAACAUUCUCUGGAGAGAUGGUCACCCAACAUUUCUGUUUAUGAAGAGAGCCAAAGUCAGCCAGAGGUGAGAGCUCAACUCCCUGGCAGACGCUUAUUGAGGAUAUGAAUGGCCUAGACCUGCCUCUGGCUUUUAGAUCAGAGUUUUCCCAAGCUUUUAUUCCUCAGAUUUUUCUCGUUCCUCAGUCCUUCCUC